GACGAACGCUGGCGGCGUGCUUAACACAUGCAAGUCGAACGGAAAGGCCCUGCUUUUGUGGGGUGCUCGAGUGGCGAACGGGUGAGUAACACGUGAGUAACCUGCCCUUGACUUUGGGAUAACUUCAGGAAACUGGGGCUAAUACCGGAUAGGAGCUCCUGCUGCAUGGUGGGGGUUGGAAAGUUUCGGCGGUUGGGGAUGGACUCGCGGCUUAUGAGCUUGUUGGUGGGGUAGUGGCUUACCAAGGCUUUGACGGGUAGCCGGCCUGAGAGGGUGACCGGCCACAUUGGGACUGAGAUACGGCCCAGACUCCUACGGGAGGCAGCAGCGGGGAAUAUUGCACAAUGGGCGGAAGCCUGAUGCAGCAACGCCGCGUGCGGGAUGACGGCCUUCGGGUUGUAAACCGCUUUCGCCUGUGACGAAGCGUGAGUGACGGUAAUGGGUAAAGAAGCACCGGCUAACUACGUG
rnacentral:rRNA from 1 species